GUGCAGGAUAGUCAGUGGUUAUAGAGUGUUUGACUCCCAACCGAAAGGUUCUGGGUUCAAACCUCAAUGUCCGCAGA